rnacentral:rRNA from 1 species
GAUGAACGCUAGCGGCAGGCUUAACACAUGCAAGUCGAGGGGCAGCGGGAUGAUUGCUUGCAAUCAUUGCCGGCGACCGGCGCACGGGUGCGUAACGCGUAUGCAACCUACCCAUUAGAGGCGAAUAACCCGGAGAAAUUCGGACUAAUACGCCGUAUGAACAGAGAGGGCAUCUUUUUGUUUGAAAGAUUUAUCGCUAAUGGAUGGGCAUGCGUGACAUUAGGUAGUUGGUAGGGUAACGGCCUACCAAGCCGACGAUGUCUAGGGGAACUGAGAGGUUUAUCCCCCACACUGGUACUGAGACACGGACCAGACUCCUACGGGAGGCAGCAGUGAGGAAUAUUGGUCAAUGGACGCAAGUCUGAACCAGCCAUGCCGCGUGCAGGAAGACGGCUCUAUGAGUUGUAAACUGCUUUUGUAUGAGGGUAAUAUCAUCUACGUGUAGGUGUUUGAAAGUAUCAUACGAAUAAGGAUCGGCUAACUCCGUGCCAGCCGCCGCCGUAAAAC